GCAACAUGUGGAAGUGUGCAGUACUACUCUCUGUCUGUUACCUGGGUCUGGCUGUGGCUCAGGGAUUAUUUGACAACUUAGAUUUAAAGCCUUCGCAACAUCCAGCCUGUGGCAAGAACGAAUAUUUCGAAAAGUGUACAUUUGAAUGUCCAGCAGAGAAGACUUGUGAAAAUCGUUUAAUCGUUGCGUAUUGUCCAGAUGUUAUAAUGCCCUGUAUCCCAAAAUGCAUAUGUAAAGCAGGUUACUACAGGAAGACUCCAGGCGGUGAAUGUAUCUCAGAAGCAGAAUGUGGUAACAGUUAUAUUACUAAAAAUUAAACCAAUAAAAUGUGCCCAAAACAUUCCACUGAAGCGUACAACUUUGGGACAAUUCCUAGUAAUGGCAUCAGUUCAUGUAAUACGGUUCCGCAGGGAUGUAUUUUGGGCCCAUCAUUACUUAAUCUUUAAAUGCUUAAUAGUGACUUUAUUCAUCAUGCUGCUGACUUAAAAAUUUACUCGUGACUAAAAAACUAUUAAGAUGUUAAGAAAGCCUGGCAAGACAGAUUCAACUCAUACUGUAACUUAGAGUUAAGUCGUAACAACUGCGAAAAUAUAAACUACAGAAAAAUAAUACUACAACUUUUCUGUAGUUUUCUUUUCUUCUUUUUUUUCUCACUGUUUUAGUGUAGUUAAUUUUAAGUUGUAUAUCAUUUAUUCAUAAUUAUUCUGUUAUAUAAUGUUCUCAUUUUCAAUUGAUUCAUUUUCAGUCAAUUCAAUUGAUUUUUGAAGCUUUACAACAUUAUACGUUAUCCCAAAUGCUAUUGUCCCAAACUGCUAGGCUCACCUGAAUGUAGAAGAUGACAAAAAUAAUGAAGUGGGUGCUUUGUCUCUAUAUUUAUUUGUGUAAUUAAUAAAAUUUAAUAUUAUUAA